UGUGGGAGCGGGCUUGCUCGCGAAAGCGUUGGUUCAGGCAGCUUAUGUGGAGGCUGACACUCCGCUUUCGCGAGCAAGCCCGCUCCCACA
rnacentral:antisense_RNA from 1 species